rnacentral:lncRNA from 1 species
CAGAGGUUUGGGUGCAAACGGUUAUCCCUUCAGGCUCUCAAGUAACUGAAGAUUCACUGAGGAGUGAUGUGGAACCUAAAUCACAGGCAACCAUUACCUCAUCUGUUCCUCUACCAGGCAGCGUUACUGCCUACUUGGAUGAAAUGCAAGUCCAUCCUUCAUGUGCUAUUAAAAGUAUUAUGAUUGAUGAAGAAACUGGACAGGUUGAAAUUGGGCAAGGAGAAUCUUGGCUGAACAAAUUUAGAAUCAACAGGAACAAGUUGGCAUUUUUGAAGUGCCUGAUUGGGUGGAAAGGAAACAAAACAGCAGUGGAAAAAGUAGAUCCUCCAAAUGCUCCUGGAAUUUGCUCUCAUGACAACCACAGACUGCAUGAGCUGGAUGGAUGCAUGGCAAAAGAAGAACAACCAUAUAUUCCAUACAAGUUAGCUAAAUUAUAUAUUACCAAGGUAAAAAAAAAAUCAAAAAGCAUUCAAAUAUUAGUUGCUUUGAAUGAAUAAUUCACAAUAUAAGAAAUUAUUAAAUGAAUUUAGUAUGUCUAUACUCAUAGGCUAUCACAGGAAAAUUACAGUUUCCUUAAUAUUUUAAUUUUAUUCAGCUAAUUUUAUUAUGACUUUUUAAAAACUUUUUCCUCCAGAGUUUGG